rnacentral:rRNA from 1 species
UCUAAUCUGCCCAAUGAUUUAAAAUUAAAUGGCCGCGGUAAAUUGACCGUGCAAAGGUAGCAUAAUAAAUAGUCUUUUAAUUGGAGGCUUGAAUGAAUGAUUGAAUGAGAAAUUAACUUAAUUAAUAUUAAUAGUUGAAAUUGAUUUUUAAGUAAAAAAGCUUAAAUAUUUGAGUGGGACGAGAAGACCCUAUAGAAUUUUUAAAAUCUUAUUAAAUUUAUUUUUUUUAGUUAAUUAAUUUUUUUUAUUUAAUUGAUUUUUUUGUUGGGGUGAUAUUAAAAUAUAAUUAACUUUUAAUAAAAAUUUCAUAAAUUUAUGUAAAUAUUGAUCCAAAUUUUUGAUUAAAAGAAUAAAUUACCUUAGGGAUAACAGCGUAAUUAAUUUGGAGAGUUCUUAUCAAUAAAUUUGAUUGCGACCUCGAUGUUGGAUUAAGAAUAGAGAUUGGAGCAAAAUUUAUUAUUUCUGGGUCUGUUCGACCCUUAAUAU